AUUGAACGCUGGCGGCAUGCCUUACACAUGCAAGCCGAACGGUAACAGGUCUUCGGAUGCUGACGAGUGGCGAACGGGUGAGUAAUUCGUAGGAAGCUGCCCGAUAGAGGGGGAUACCAGUUGGAAACGACUGUUAAUACCGCAUAAUGUCUACGGACCAAAGUGUUGGACCUUCGGGCCACAUGCUAUCGGAUGCGCCUACGUGGGAUUAGCUAGUUGGUGAGGUAAUGGCUCACCAAGGCGACGAUCUAUAGCUGGUUUGAGAGGAUGAUCAGCCACACUGGAACUGAGACACGGUCCAGACUCCUACGGGAGUCAGCAGUGGGGAAUAUUGGACAAUGGACGCAAGCCUGAUCCAGCCAUGCCGCGUGUGUGAAGAAGGCCUUCGGGUUGUAAAGCACUUUCAGCGAGGAGGAAGGGUGGUGUGUUAAUAGCACAUCACUUUGACGUUACUCGCAGAAGAAGCACCGGCUAACUCUGUGCCAGCAGCCGCAGUAAUAC
rnacentral:rRNA from 1 species